rnacentral:rRNA from 1 species
GACGAACGCUGGCGGCGUGCUUAACACAUGCAAGUCGAACGGUGAAGCGCUUGCCUUUUUGGUGGGUGUGGAUGAGUGGCGAACGGGUGAGUAACACGUGAGUAACCUGCCCUCUUCUUCUGGAUAACCUCAUGAAAGUGGGGCUAAUACGGGGUAUUCCGGGUCUGUCGCAUGGCGGGUUUGGGAAAGAUUGCGCCUUUGGGUGUUUUCGGUGGGGGAUGGGCUCGCGGCCUAUCAGCUUGUUGGUGGGGUGAUGGCCUACCAAGGCGGUGACGGGUAGCCGGCCUGGGAGGGUGGACGGCCACAGUGGGACUGAGACACGGCCCAGACGCCUGCGGGAGGCAGCAGUGGGGAAUAUUGCACAAUGGGCGCAAGCCUGAUGCAGCGACGCCGCGUGAGGGAUGGAGGCCUUCGGGUUGUGAACCUCUUUCGCCAGUGAAGCAGGCCUGCUCCUGUGUGGGUGGGUUGACGGUAGCUGGAGAAGAAGCGCCGGCUAACUACGUG